rnacentral:rRNA from 1 species
GUGGGGAAUAUUGCACAAUGGGCGAAAGCCUGAUGCAGCGACGCCGCGUGAGGGAUGACGGCCUUCGGGUUGUAAACCUCUUUCAGUAGGGAAGAAGCCCCUUUUUGGGGUGACGGUACUUGCAGAAGAAGCGCCGGCUAACUACGUGCCAGCAGCCGCGGUAAUACGUAGGGCGCAAGCGUUAUCCGGAAUUAUUGGGCGUAAAGAGCUCGUAGGCGGUUUGUCGCGUCUGCCGUGAAAGUCCGAGGCUCAACCUCGGAUCUGCGGUGGGUACGGGCAGACUAGAGUGAUGUAGGGGAGACUGGAAUUCCUGGUGUAGCGGUGAAAUGCGCAGAUAUCAGGAGGAACACCGAUGGCGAAGGCAGGUCUCUGGGCAUUUACUGACGCUGAGGAGCGAAAGCAUGGGGAGCGAACAGGAUUAGAUACCCCAGUAGUCC